UUUCUAGAAAAACAUACUUAAAAGCUAUGAGAGAGUCAUUGGUGCUGUGCUGGAAAAUAAAAAUCACUGGACACUUUUUUUCUGUGACCUAACUAAACAAGAGGUCACAUACUUGGAUUCAUUUGGUGAGACAAAUGAAAAGAAAGAGAAGAUUCUUAAGAACUGGAGUUCUUUUGCCAAGGCAAAGGGAUGUAUCCUGGAGUGGAAAUGGAAUGAUGUGCCCCAUCCACGGCAGGACGACGGACAUUCUUGUGGAAUCCAUGUGCUAAUGUUUGCUCAGGCCCUGCUUGAUGGAAAAGGAUUUGUGGAUGGAUAUUCUUCUACUGAUAUUCCUCAGCUGAGGGCACAGCUCUGCUACACUCUAUUUUCCUCCUUGGGUACUCACUGUUAAAAAAUAUAGAAGUAUGAAGUGCACAGUGUGCUGGGGUGUCCUAAUGAAAG